AAUGAACAGGGGGUGGCCGAUACGGUCUGAGAUUAUACCCUUUGAACCUGAUCCGGGUAAUGCCGGCGUAGGGAAAAGAAAAGGUGUAUUA
rnacentral:ncRNA from 2 species